GACGAACGCUGGCGGCGUGCCUAAUACAUGCAAGUAGAACGCUGAAGGAGGAGCUUGCUUCUCUGGAUGAGUUGCGAACGGGUGAGUAACGCGUAAGUAACCUGCCUGGUAGCUGGGGAUAACUAUUGGAAACGAUAGCUAAUACCGCAUAAUAGCAGCUAUUGCAUGAUAACUGUUUGAAAGUUGCAAUUGCUCCACUACCAGAUGGACCUGCGUUGUAUUAGCUAGUUGGUGGGGUAACGGCUCACCAAGGCGGGGAUACAGAGCCGACCUGAGAGGGGGAUCGGCCAGCCUGGGACUGUGACAGGGCCCAGACUCACACGGGAGGCAGCAGUAGGGAAUCGUCGGCAAUGGACGGAAGUCUGACCGAGCAACGCCGCGUGAGUGAAGAAGGUUUUCGGAUCGUAAAGCACUGUUGUAAGAGAAGAACGAGUGUGAGAGUGGAAAGUUCACACUGUGACGGUAUCUUACCAGAAAGGGACGGCUAACUACGUG
rnacentral:rRNA from 1 species